CCCUAUGGGGCGCACCAUUAAAGAUCACCUCGCGUAAACAACGGCCGAGCCGUUUCUUUCUGCCAGCCCGCUUGUAGGCAGGCUGCGCUGCUUCUGCUAUUGUAUGAACUCCUGCUAUUUUUCCGUCAAGUUAGAAUACCCCUGACUGCGUUGUGAACGGGCAUAGCGAUCCCUACCCUGAUAACGCAAUAUAAUAUGAUAGCACCAGGCUGAAAAGAUGUCAAUGCAAAAUCAUAAAAUAAAAUAGGAUUUUUAAGAAAAAGGCGGAAUGUCUUGGAUUCCGCCUUUUGUCUUAUUCUGCUGACAGACCGCGGGAUUUGCAGGCGGUCUGAUUUCAAAGGUGUUCUGGGGCGCCGGACGCAUCAGGCGUCGCGGGGGCUUUCGAUCAGCCGGCUGUCGAAGAAGUCGCGAUCUUGGGCUGCCCCGACAGGAACAGCUUGAGGCCAAAGGAAUUGGCGGGGGGGC
rnacentral:rRNA from 1 species